GACGAACGCUGGCGGCGUGCUUAACACAUGCAAGUCGAACGGAAGGGCCCUGCUUUUGUGGGGUGCUCGAGUGGCGAACGGGUGAGUAACACGUGAGUAGCCUGCCCUUGACUUUGGGAUAACUUCAGGAAACUGGGGCUAAUACCGGAUAGGAGCUCCUGCUGCAUGGUGGGGGUUGGAAAGUUUCGGCGGUUGGGGAUGGACUCGCGGCUUAUCAGCUUGUUGGUGGGGUAGUGGCUUACCAAGGCUUUGACGGGUAGCCGGCCUGAGAGGGUGACCGGCCACAUUGGGACUGAGAUACGGCCCAGACUCCUACGGGAGGCAGCAGUGGGGAAUAUUGCUCAAUGGGCGGAAGCCUGAUGCAGCAACGCCGCGUGCGGGAUGACGGCCUUCGGGUUGUAAACCGCUUUCGCCUGUGACGAAGCGUGAGUGACGGUAAUGGGUAAAGAAGCACCGGCUAACUACGUG
rnacentral:rRNA from 1 species